UCUUGGCCUAUUGUCAAACUUUGAAUCGGCGCGGGGCAGGGUGGUGUGUGAUAGAACCCCUUGCUGGCACCGCUGCGCCUAGUGGGCCAUUUUUGGUAAGCAGAACUGGCGAUGCGGGAUGAACCGAACGUGCCGCCAAGGUGCCCGAGUGCCCGCUCAUGAGAGACCAUAAAAGGCGUUGGUUCAUCCAGACAGCAGGGCGGUGGCCAUGAAAGUCGGCAUCCGCCAAGGAGUGUGUUAUGACUCACCUGCCGAAUGGACUAGCUCUGAAAAUGGAAGGCGCUGGAGCGGGGGACCGCAGCGGCACAAUCAAGAGGCGUCUUUGGAUUUAGGUAGGAGGGCGUGGUGGGGUUUGGGGCCCGAAGGCAGGUCGUGAGACGUGCUGGACCAGCCUGCAGUGCAGAUCUU
rnacentral:rRNA from 1 species